UACGUAGGUGGCAAGCGUUAUCCGGAAUUAUUGGGCGUAAAGCGCGCGCAGGCGGUUUCUUAAGUCUGAUGUGAAAGCCCACGGCUCAACCGUGGAGGGUCAUUGGAAACUGGGGAACUUGAGUGCAGAAGAGAAAAGCGGAAUUCCACGUGUAGCGGUGAAAUGCGUAGAGAUGUGGAGGAACACCAGAGGCGAAGGCGGCCUACUGGGCUGCACCUGACGCUGAGCCGCGAAAGCCAGGGGAGCGAACGGG
rnacentral:rRNA from 1 species